UACGUAGGGACCAAGCGUUGUUCGGAUUUACUGGGCGUAAAGGGCGCGUAGGCGGCAAUUCAAGUCAUCUGUGAAAUCUCCGGGCUUAACUCGGAAUGGUCAGGUGAUACUGCUUUGCUAGAGUGCAGAAGGGGCAAUCGGAAUUCUUGGUGUAGCGGUGAAAUGCGUAGAUAUCAAGAGGAACACCUGAGGUGAAGACGGGUUGCUGGGCUGACACUGACGCUGAGGUGCGAAAGCGUGGGGAGCAAACAGG
rnacentral:rRNA from 1 species